AUUGAACGCUGGCGGCAUGCUUUACACAUGCAAGUCGAACGGUAACAGGUCUUCGGAUGCUGACGAGUGGCGAACGGGUGAGUAAAGCAUCGGAACGUGCCCAGUCGUGGGGGAUAACGCAGCGAAAGCUGUGCUAAUACCGCAUACGAUCUAUGGAUGAAAGCGGGGGACCGUAAGGCCUCGCGCGAUUGGAGCGGCCGAUGUCAGAUUAGCUAGUUGGUGGGGUAAAGGCCCACCAAGGCGACGAUCUGUAGCUGGUCUGAGAGGACGACCAGACACAGUGGGACGGAGACACGGCCCAGACUCCGACGGGAGGCAGCAGUGGGGAAUUUUGGACAAUGGGCGCAAGCCUGAUCCAGCAAUGCCGCGUGCAGGAAGAAGGCCUUCUGGUUGUAAACUGCUUUUGUACGGAACGAAACGGUCUGGGUUAAUACCUCGGGCUAAUGACGGUACCGUAAGAAUAAGCACCGGCUAACUACGUGCCAGCCGCCGCAGUAAUAC
rnacentral:rRNA from 1 species